rnacentral:rRNA from 1 species
GAUGAACGCUGGCGGCGUGCCUAAUACAUGCAAGUCGAGCGAACGGACGAGAAGCUUGCUUCUCUGAUGUUAGCGGCGGACGGGUGAGUAACACGUGGAUAACCUACCUAUAAGACUGGGAUAACUUCGGGAAACCGGAGCUAAUACCGGAUGAUAUUUUGAACCGCAUGGUUCAAAAGUGAAAGACGGUCUUGCUGUCACUUAUAGAUGGAUCCGCGCUGCAUUAGCUAGUUGGUAAGGUAAUGGCUUACCAAGGCAACGAUGCAUAGCCGACCUGAGAGGGUGAUCGCCCACACUGGAACGGAGACACGGUCCAGACUCCUACGGGAGGCAGCAGUAGGGAAUCUUCCGCAAUGGGCGAAAGCCUGACGGAGCAACGCCGCGUGAGUGAUGAAGGUCUUCGGAUCGUAAAACUCUGUUAUGAGGGAAGAACAUAUGUGUAAGUAACUGUGCACAUCUUGACGGUACCUAAUCAGAAAGCCACGGCUAACUACGUG